AUGCCAGAGCCUGAGCAGGAGAGAUGCAAACACAGAUUUUUAACCCAAUCCUCGAACCUCCACCUUCCGCCAGAGGGAGAUAAUGCAAACUGACGUUAAUAGUCAAAACUACAAGUUAUGAUUCUGCAGUGCCAACCUCACUCAAUAAUUUAGUCUAGUGAUAACCACCUUGCUGGGAUGAAUGACUAUGAGAUUUCUACAGAUGGCGUUUCUUCCAGUAAACCUUGAGUAUUUUGCCAAUUUGCUGCUCUUUGUCAUCCUUUUGGAUGGGCGUGAAUUGAACAUUGUACGUCUGCCUCAGCUCUUUGAAAACAGGAGAUAUAUGUGGGAAAAUGUACUGAAAUGAUUUUUAUGGGUUUUGCUCUGGUCAGAAGUCACAAAGGAAUUAAACUUCAUUUUUGGAUGCUGCUGCUUCAAUGAUGGCCACAAAAGGGCAGAAACUAUCUCACUAAGAAGGCAACCAACUCCUCUGGUUUGCCCAGCAUCCCAGGAAUCCCUCCAUCUAUCAUGCAAAUCAGGAAGGCUGGUUGACCUACUUGCAGGCUAUCUUGAUCUAUUCCCAUGUGAACAAACUGAGAUGAGCUGGCUUCCCAGGAUUCCAUGCAGCCAUAAAUGCUGAAUAUAGAUCUCCUACACCUGGAAUUGGAGUUACCAUCUUGCAGACAUGAAGAUCCAAGUCAGAUUCUAACUAUGGUGGAUGAGAAAAAGAGGCUAUUCCUACCGAAGGCUGCCUACCUCUACUCGGUUAUAUGAAUAAUAAACCCCUUACUU